UCCAUCUCGAACCCAACUCCACAGCCCUAACCCGUGCCUGCCGCCGCUGCCCUCGUGCUCGAUCCACAGUCCUGCCGCCGGCCUCGCGCUCUACCCCGUUUUCAAGUCGUUGUCUCGGAGCUUGCACUACCUCGCCCCUAAGCUCCACCUCGUCAUCCACCCGUCCUUGCAGUCCGCCCCUCCCCCCAAGCUCCAUAUCCCGAGAUCGAGCCGUCGCCCUCUCGAUUCAACAUCGAACCGCCGUCCUCGCACCGCCCCCUCGACAUCCCACUGUCGUCCUUGCCAGUCCCCGCUCCUGCUGCUGCCAGGGCUCCAUCUCCGGGCUCCCGCUGCUGUCCCACCUGCUGUUGCUGGGGCUCCAUCUCCGGGCUCUUGCUGCUGCUGGAUCUGCUGCUACCGGGGCUCCAUCUGCAGGCUCACACUGCUGCUGGACCUGCUGCUACCGAGGAUCCAUCCCCUUCGAGCUAUGCCCCUCUCAAAGACAGUUGGCAUCGUGUCUGAGUGAGGUGAUGGCGGAAGACAAUAAUGAUCAUUGAUACAUCAUAGAUGGAGCUGGAGGCAAUGCUGCAAAGAGUGUCAAAUGGAGGUGGCUUCUCAUGGGUCCUACAGCCAUAUAGGUGGAUAGUUGUUCAACAAAAUGAUAUAUGGACUUCAAGCUGGUAUCAUAAAAAAACAUUUGCUUCGGUGUUCUGAAGUUUCUCGAUGAAGUGUAAUAUAUUUGACCAGUAGCGACACCACCACAAGGCAUAUAUGUACCAAUGAUGUUAUUUCUUCUAGUCAAUUUGAUUUUUUUAUCUGUUGUGAGUAACAAGUAAACUACUCAGGUUGAUCUUAUUUGUAUAUUUUGCAAUUGUUUCCUGGUUGAUGUAUUGCAAGAGCGUUGUUUGUCCAUACUUAAGUAUACUUCAGUUUGGUUCAGUUUAGGACAUAGUAAGUAUGCUUUAGAAGAAAUAAUAAAAAUUAUCUGUUGCGAACAACAUGUCAGGCUUGCGUUUUCAAUCUCCCUGUACUUCUAUGGUUCCAAAUAUUCUCUUGUAUCUUCAUUGUCUUAUCUGCUUGUAGACCUAUACUGCAAGUUAGUUUGAUGUUAAAGAAAAAUCCAUUUAUUGUACUGUUGUCAGUUUGUGCUUAAUUUUGUGAUUGUUGAAGGCAAGGAAAAGAGAUGGUGCAGAAGGAGCUUAAGCAAGCAUGAUGGUUCGACGACCACAACCUCACAAGGCCAUCCACAUGGCCCAGCAACACUAUUUCAAGUCUGCCUCUCGCUCCCUACCCAGCCACUCAGUAGUGGAUUUUAUUAUUUUGUCUUCUCCAUGGACUGAUUGGUUGUUGCUGUGGUUACUCCAUGGACUAAUAUGACCUUUGCACCGAAACCAUUUAUUUUACAAAAUUGCCUACCUUUGUUCUAGCAUAUUAAAUUUUAUUAGCAUGCUCCAGUGCCUACAAAUUGUUCUAUCGGAACAUUAUCUUUGUUCUUCCAUCAUGAAAUGUGUGAAGUUUGCAAUGACUGGAGAUCUCACCAAUAGUCAUGUCUCCAAAAAUUCCUCUUGUUCUAUUCAGACGCUUAACUUACUUUAGAUAAUGGAAGAUGGUUGCUCAGCCUCUGCAUCGUUCCAUAAUUUAUAUUUCCUGGACUUGUUAUUUCCCUGUGGAUUGAUCUAGGAUCCUACUUUGUUAUACAAGCGUCUGCCAGUUAAUGCUUUGCCAUUGUUUCUCUUGAGGUCACUCUUUAUAUUAGAAUAUUUUUAUGUACUGCAUUUAUGCUCUAUCUACAUUGGAAUUUGAUGUCAUCCUUGACUGUUACCUCUGUCUGCCUCAACUUUAUAUUGUAGAAAUUAUGUUUUGUUAAUUAUAAUUACAUACUAUUCUUUCACUAUUUCUGAUAAAAUCAUAAUAUUAUUUUUGAUAGGCUGGAAGGGAGGUCAUUAUCUACAACUGCUUACCAUCUCCUAUUUCAUCAAACUAAUAAACAACGGUUCAAAUGACUAGGGUUGCUAGGGAAGGGAGAAUUUAUUUGAAUAAUUUCCUCUUGACUAGGAUGAAUGAGAAAAUAUCUUCAUGUGGUUCUAUGUACAUUGCAUGUGCGUACUUACUAGUCAGAGUAAAAAAUAGAUGCAAAUUGUGUUGUUACAUACAAUUGUCAUGAUUACAAUGUCUGAUGAGAAACAAAUUACUUUUAGUCUUGUCGACAAUAUCCAGGAACCACGACCACCAACAUGCAGCAUGGCCAAUGGGCGGAGAACGGAUGGAUACCUCGCUGGGAACCAUGGUUUCGCACAUGUAGUAGAAACCAAAUGGUGGAUGGAAAGGCUACCUCAUGGGGAACCAGGGGCACGACUUGUAGUGUCCAACUGGUGGCGAAUGGAAGGCUACCUGGCCGGGUACCUCAACUAAUAGGCACUUAGCCAACGGGUGCACAUGGACGAGAUGACUUUGAAGUGUUUAUGGACCAUUCAACCUAUAAUCGUGGAUCUUAUGUGUCUUCCAGACCAUUUGGUGUUUCCGAUAUUUUGGAGCUUGUACUUUGUGCAAGUGGAUAUAGACUUGUGUGUUGUAGACCAUCUAGCUAAAGUCUCUCAUACAAGCAAAUAGUGCUCAUCUUUCUGUGACUUGUGUGUUCUAGGUGAUUGUUAAGAUGGUCAAAACUAUGCUUUGCCAAGAUGAUGUGUUUGUCAACUUGCAUUCAAUGUAUAUGAAUGUUUGUGAACAAGUUUUCAUUGUUGUACAGUAUGUGUUCAUCUUGAACCUUCUUGUGGAUGUGAGGAUAAUAAUUGAAUCUGUUUAGAGUUUGUA